CGCCGAUAGGGGUAACCCCGCCGGUGAUUGAGCAGAAGUCAGCAGACGGCAUAGUAGCCAAACGCCCAUCGUAAUGGUUGGGACAGGGUGAAGGCC
rfam:Marinobacter sp. ELB17 1101232001210, whole genome shotgun sequence.